rnacentral:lncRNA from 1 species
CCGGGUGGCGCUGGAGCCGCGCCCUGCUGAGCGAGCGAGCCGGCCGGGGACGGUUUCGGGUCGGGACUCCGGCUUCGGGAACGGGCCUCUGGAAACCUGCGACGUCAGUCCUUACCCGCCCGCGGCUGCCGCGGACCGUCCCACCCCCAAACCCGUAGAAGCCCCUCCGACCUGCAACCUCCAGCCGCCCGGCCCUAGGACUUGAGCGGCUCCCUGGCCGGUGCGGAACCUGCGGGCUAAUAAUCUAGCGACCGGGAGAACGCCAAACAUCCCUGGACUAGAAGUUGCAGGGGAAAUCAAACAGCCCAGAAAGUUUAUUCUCCUUGCUGGUAUUUCUUCCACUUGCUAUUUUGCUGAGAGAUGCAUGCAAACUACCCUUAGACUUUCAGAUGCAGUGCGUUUUACUUAGCCGUGCCUGACAAACACACAGAACUUUUACCGUCUGGUAGAUCCGCCUUGACUUUACCAGCGAAUACUAAAGUCACUUAAAAAAAAAUCACAAGGCUCGAAAACAGCAGCAUUAGAAGUAGACUUUAUGGUACUCUGCUCAGCUAUGUUCUCAUUUGAUUCCAACCACUACACGGCAGAAAAGACUGAUGAGCUUCUCUGUGCAAGGGUGCCUUUUUGGAGCAAUGUCCCCAUUCGGUCCAUUGAUAUGAACCACUUCAUUGAAUGUCUUAGACGUUUUAGGGUACAUGUGCACAAUGUGCAGGUUUACUGCAGCGCUAUUCACAAUAGCAAAGACUUGGGACCAAGCCAAAUGUCCAACAAUGAUAGACUGGAUUAAGAAAAUGUGGCACAUAUACACCAUGGAAUACUAUGCAGCAUCCUUUGACUUUUCUAAACUACUUAUUAGUUCUUUUUUUAUGGAUUCCUUGGAAUUUUCUACAUACAGGGUCAUGUAAUCUGCAAAUAAAUACAUUUUUACUUUUUUCUUUUCAAUCUGGAUGCAUUUUAUUUAUUUACGUACUUACUACACUGGCAAGAACUUCCAAUUAAAUGUUCCUGAAGGACAUUAGAAGUGCUAUUCCAGUGAAUACAUGAAAAAUAAGAAACAGUCUUAUUGCUGAUAUGGAGAAAGUUUUAGUGAUCUGGAUAGAUCAAUAUAGCCACAACAUUAUCUUCAGCCAAAACCCAAUCCAGGGUAAGGCCCUAACUAAAUUCAAUUCCAUGAAGGCUGUGAGAGGUAAGGAAGCUGAACAAGAAAAGUUGGAAGCUAGCAGAGGCUGAUUCAUGAGGUUUAAGGAGAGAAGUCAUUUCCAUAACAUAAAAGUGCAAGGUGAAGCAGCAAGUUCUGAUGGAAGUUGCAGCAAGUUAUCCAGAAGAUCUACCUAAGAUAAUUGAUGAGGGUGGCUAUACUAAACAACAGAAUAUCAGUGUAGAUGAAACAGCUUUCUAUUGGAAGAAGAUGCCAUAUAGGAGUUUCAUAACUAGAGUGGAGAAGUCAAUGCAUGGCUUCAAAGCUUCAAAGGACAGGCUGACUCUCUUAUUAGGGGCUAAUGCAGCUGAUGACUUAAAUUUGAAGCCAGUACUCAUUUAACAUUCCAAAAAUCCCAUGGCCCUCAAAAAUCACCUAAAUCUACCUGUGCUCUAUAAAUGAAACAACAAAGCUUGGAUGAAAGCAUGUCUGUUUACAGCAUGGAUUACUGACUAUUUUAAGCCCACUGUUUGAGACUUGUUGCUCAGAAAAAAGAUUACUUCAAAAUAUUGCUACUCAUUCACAAUGUACCUUUUCACCUAAGAGCUCUGGUGGAGAUAUACAAGGAGGUUAAUGUUUUCAUGACUGCUAUUAUAACAUCCACUCGGCAGCACAUGGAUCAAAGAGUAAUAGCAACUUUCAAGUCUUAUUAUUUAAAAAAUACAUUUCAUAAACCUAUUGCCGCCAUAGAUACUUAUUCAUCUGACGGAUCUGGGCAAAGUAAAUCAAAAACCUCUGGAAAGGAUUCACCAUUCUAGAUGCCAUUAAGAAUAUGAUUCAUGUGAGGAGGUCAAAAUUAUUAACAUUAACAAGAUUUUGGAAGAAGUUGAGUCCAACCUUCAGGGAUGAUUUUAAGGAGCUCAAGAUUUCAGUAGAGGAAGUAACUAUAGAUGUGGUAGAAAUAGCAAGAGAACUAGAAUUAGAAGUGGAGCCUGAACAUGUGACUGCAUCGCUGCAAUCUCAUGAUAAAAAUGCAGCAAAUAGGAGUUGCUUCUUAUGAAUGAGCAAAGAAAGUUGUUUCUUGAGAUGGUACCUAUUCCUGGUGAAGAUGCUGUAAACAUUGUUGAAAUGACAACAAAGAUUUUAGAAUAUUCCAUAAACUUAGUUGAUAAAGCAGUAGCAGGGUUUGAAAAGAUGGACUCCAAUUUUGAAAGAAGUUCCACUGUGAGUAAAAUGCUAUCAAAUAGCUUUGCAUGCUACAGAGAAAUCUUUCAUGAAAGGAAGCGUCCAUCAAUGCUGCAAACUUCCAUUGUUGUCUUCUCUGAAGAAAUUGCCACAGCCACCCAGCCUUCAACAACCACCUCCCUAAUCAGUCAGCAGCCAUCAACAUUGAGGCCAGAUCUUCCUCCAGCAAAAAGAUGACUACUUGCUGAAGGCUCAGAUGAUCCCUACCAUUUUGGGCAAUAAAGUAUUUUUAAAUCAAG